rnacentral:rRNA from 1 species
CUACGUGCCAGCAGCCGCGGUAAUACGGAAGGUCCAGGCGUUAUCCGGAUUUAUUGGGUUUAAAGGGAGUGUAGGCGGUUUGUUAAGCGUGUUGUGAAAUUUAGAUGCUCAACAUUUAACUUGCAGCGCGAACUGGCGAACUUGAGUGCACACAACGUAUGCGGAAUUCAUGGUGUAGCGGUGAAAUGCUUAGAUAUCAUGAAGAACUCCGAUUGCGAAGGCAGCAUACGGGAGUGUAACUGACGCUUAAGCUCGAAGGUGCGGGUAUCGAACAGGAUUAGAUACCCUGGUAGUCCGCACAGUAAACGAUGGAUGCCCGCUGUUAGCGCCUGGCGUUAGCGGCUAAGCGAAAGCAUUAAGCAUCCCACCUGGGGAGUACGCCGGCAACGGUGAAACUCAAAGGAAUUGACGGGGGCCCGCACAAGCGGAGGAACAUGUGGUUUAAUUCGAUGAUACGCGAGGAACCUUACCCGGGCUUGAAUUGCAGAGGAAGGAUUUAGAGAUA